rnacentral:rRNA from 1 species
AGAGUUUGAUCAUGGCUCAGGACGAACGCUGGCGGCGUGCCUAAUACAUGCAAGUCGUGCGAAUCACUUCGGUGAUGAGCGGCGGACGGGUGAGUAACACGUGGGCAAUCUGCCCGACAGACCGGGAUAACGCUUGGAAACGAGUGCUAAUACCGGAUACGCUCUUGCUUCGCAUGAAGCGAGAGGGAAAGCUGCUCUUGCAGCACUGUCGGAUGAGCCCGCGGCGCAUUAGCUAGUUGGUGAGGUAACGGCUCACCAAGGCGACGAUGCGUAGCCGACCUGAGAGGGUGACCGGCCACACUGGGACUGAGACACGGCCCAGACUCCUACGGGAGGCAGCAGUAGGGAAUCUUCCGCAAUGGGCGCAAGCCUGACGGAGCAACGCCGCGUGAGUGAUGAAGGCCUUCGGGUUGUAAAACUCUGUCUUCUGUGAAGAACAAGCCUAUGACGAAAAUGCUUAGGCCCUGACGGUAACAGAGGAGGAAGCCCCGGCUAACUACGUGCCAGCAGCCGCGGUAAUACGUAGGGGGCAAGCGUUGUCCGGAAUCACUGGGCGUAAAGCGCGCGCAGGCGGCUGUCUACGUCCGGGGUGAAAGCCCAGAGCUCAACUCUGGGACUGCCUUGGAUACGGGAUGGCUUGAGGAUCGGAGAGGCAAGGGGAAUUCCACGUGUAGCGGUGAAAUGCGUAGAGAUGUGGAGGAACACCUGUGGCGAAGGCGCCUUGCUGGCCGAUUUCUGACGCUGAGGCGCGAAAGCGUGGGGAGCAAACAGGAUUAGAUACCCUCGUAGUCC